rnacentral:rRNA from 1 species
AGUGAACGCUGGCGGUAGGCCUAACACAUGCAAGUCGAACGGCAGCACAGUAAGAGCUUGCUCUUACGGGUGGCGAGUGGCGGACGGGUGAGGAAUACAUCGGAAUCUACUUUUUCGUGGGGGAUAACGUAGGGAAACUUACGCUAAUACCGCAUACGACCUACGGGUGAAAGCAGGGGAUCUUCGGACCUUGCGCGAUUGAAUGAGCCGAUGUCGGAUUAGCUAGUUGGCGGGGUAAAGGCCCACCAAGGCGACGAUCCGUAGCUGGUCUGAGAGGAUGAUCAGCCACACUGGAACUGAGACACGGUCCAGACCCCUACGGGAGGCAGCAGUGGGGAAUAUUGGACAAUGGGCGCAAGCCUGAUCCGGCCAUACCGCGUGGGUGAAGAAGGCCUUCGGGUUGUAAAGCCCUUUUGUUGGGAAAGAAAAGCAGCAGGUUAAUACCCCGCUGUUCUGACGGUACCCAAAGAAUAAGCACCGGCUAACUUCGUG